rnacentral:lncRNA from 1 species
AGAUUCUUUUCAAAGAGGGAGAGGAUGAUGUGAGUCCAAUCAACACAUACAAGGAAACUAAAUCUCGAGAACCAGAUGUAGAAAUAAAAAGAAUCCAAGACAGCCUUGGAGAGUAAGGAAAACAAAUUGAAAUGCCUCCUAUACCAAUCACAAGGAAUUGGGCCAAAAAAUUUCAACUUGCAUUUAAUAUGUUGGCCCAAGAAUGGAAAAAUAAAGAGUAGGAUCAAGGUAGGCCAACUGACCUUAGAGAAGAUAUGGGAGCACGUGCUAAGCACGUGGACGUACUCAUACAUGCAAAUGAACAACCAUAUGUGUAAGAAAGGAGUCUUGUACUUGUGGAGAUCUCACUCGUGUGAGAAACGUGUACAAGGCAUGCAAGCAAGCCUUCUAGUAUGUAAGGCAACACGCAUGUGCGAAAUAGCCUAUCGCAUACGUGCAGGAGAAUGCGAGCAUGAAGUAGGCCGCGUAGAAAUACAACACAUGUUGUAGGGGCACACAUGCACAGAGGUAGUUGCGCGCGCGCAGAGCA